CAAUUUAAAGCUUACUUAGAAAAGUUUUUCAUUUACAUUGAAAAGAUAUUCGUGCAAAUCGAUUUAAAUUGA
rnacentral:tRNA from 1 species